GCUGCAAGCCCAAGAGAGAGUCUCAGGUGAAACCACCCUGCCAACACCUUUAUCUUGGACUUCUUACUUCCAGAACUAUGAGAUGACA